GUGAAUAUAUAGCUCCAUCUGAAUAUAUAGAGUUGCUCAUUUUGAAACCAAGAAGUAUCCAACUAAUUAUGAAUCUUCCGUCAUAACUAUGAAUCUUCUUUGUUCCAGAUACUCAUGUUUUAUCUUCCCAUCAAAACAGGACAGUCUUAUGUAUAACUUAUGGAGCUGAGUACAUGGUACAUGAUCGUCCUCCCAAUACUGUAGAGGAAAUUGAGAAAAGAACCUUUGAAUUUUAAAUCAUUUAGUCAAAUAUCUUAAACAAGUAAAUAAUGACCACAAUCAUUACUAGCUUUAAGCAUAUAAUCACCACUUAAAGCUUUAGCUAGAAUAUAGUCACGUAUGGAGGUAAAAUGGCUGUUAACAAUCUUGCAAUCACCAUCUGUUCAAUGACAGGCCCUGCAUCAAAAGCCUGCCAACAUAAUCUAGCUAGUUAAACAUUAAUCAACAAUUAUGAAGGAAGCACAAAUGAUUGCAAACACUACAUACUGAUGCAAAUGCCUCUGUUUGGCCACAGCAAAGGGCCAUAUCAUGAGUAAGAGGGUUCACAUCUGAACCAUUCAUUUUCUUUGCCCUCAUUGACUCACAUAGUCCUUGCGCGUCCAUUACGUUGCCACAUUAAUCUCCAUUAAUUUCAAAAGAUACCAAUACACCAAGACAAACAAGUGCAGUUUUUGUCAUUAUUGAAACCCUUCCAUGCUCUGAAAAACUAAUUAUAAGGUCAUGUACGUGUUUGGUUCUAAAAAAUGCAGAGAAUAUUUGAGAAUUUUGAAUUUAAAAAAUAAAAACUCAUAGAAUAUUUAAAAGGAAAAACAUUUAAAAUUCUCCAACCAAACACGGCCUUAGAUUGGCCUAAUUAACAAAGUAAUUAAUAUGAUGAUGAAUAGAUUUUUUUAUUUCAAUAUCUCCAAAAUUGCAAUCUUAAGCCUAUAUUCCCUAAGCGGCUGCAUUGGCAUAACCUGCAUAUAUAAAAUUAACUCAUUAAUAAGUUAACUCAAUAGAUUCAUUAUAUUGCUUACCAACCCAAAAAUAGCCAUAUCAAGUUGAAGAUACAGUGUUGUGUUUUAUUUUCAAUCUCUUCCACUUUCCCCUGAGGCUUAUCUUGACUUGAAAACUUGUCUUCAGGCGCACAAGAUGAAUCUGAUUAAGCUGUGUCAUCAGAUUCAUCUUGUGCAUCAUCUUCAGUGUUCUCAUCAUUAAAAACAAGUUCCAUGUCAGUGUUCUCAAUUUUAACUUCUGAAUCAUUAUUAGAGCUAUUAGGCAAGGGCCUUCUAUAGUUUUCCUUCCCAUUCUCCCUAUGUAAGUUUGACUUUGCUAUUCUUGAAGAAAGUCUCAAAAGAUUCAGUACACCUCUGGUAGCACUAGGACGAUCUUUCUGCUUCUCAUCAACCACCAUGCCAUGAGCCUUGGUUUGAGCUCUGCGGCCACUUGGCGUACCCUUAAUCGGUGUCUCACAGCCUGUUGAUCCUAAAAUGGAAUUCUUCGUGCUCGCCCCUGUGACCAACUUGUAAAAUUAUUCUUAUUAUUUGUAUAUACUUCUUAUCAUCUAUAUAAUAAUUGGAGUUUGAUCUUCAAAAAAUCAUACAAACCUCGAUAAAAAAAUAUCUAAAACCUCAUCUGAAAAAUGUUUCUCAUUCCUAGGGGUGUAACCAGUUCGGGUAGAGAAAUCGGGGUCUCACAGCCUUAGAUUGGUGAUGCAUGACUCGAUACAAGAAAUGGGUAGAGAAAUUGUUUGUCAAGAAUCUCCCAAAGAGCCCGGCAGACGUAGUAGGUUAUGGUUUCAUGAAAAUGUUCGCUAUGUACUAGAAGAAAAUGCAAUAAGAGUUAGAUAAUAACUCUUUUCUUAAAAAAAGAAAAAAAUAAGUUUAAUUUUGUUUCCUUUCCACAAGAGAAGCUUACUAGAAAAAUCUACUUCUUGUGUAUAUAUCUAUAUACAUUCAUUCUUGUAUAUAUAUACUGACAUUUUGUAAGUAGUCUUACUCUAGUACCUGCCAAUAAUAAAAACAAUAUUCCCUUUGUGAAAAUAGGAAAAGGAAAAGAAAAAAAAAAAAAUACAAACCAUUUAACUUUAUGUAUCUGAAAAUAAAAAAAACAAUAGUUCUAGCACAUGAUGGAAGGAUGGAGAACUUAAAUGUUUUUAUUUUGUUAGCUUUUAUUUUGUCUUACUAGGGAACAAACAAAAUUGAAGGCAUAUAGGUGAAGUUGCCUAAACGAGACUUGAUACACUGAGUUCCAAAGCCUUCACGAAGUUGAAAAGACUCCGGAUCUUUAUAAAUCGUAAUGCAUGUUUUUCUGGAGGGCCUAAUUAUCUCUGUAACGAGUUAAGAUAGCUUGAUUGGCCUGAAUAUCCCUUGCAAGCUUUGCCGUCUAAUUUUCAUGGAAAGAGACUCUGUUUUUAGGAUCAGUAAUAGCCUUUUCAAAGAAUUGAAGGAGGUAUUCAAGGUACAAGUAAUCUUAUUAUCAACGUUCUAAUCCUCUUAAUUUUGAUGUAAACCACUUUGAAGAUAAUUUAUUCCCCUUUCUAUUUACAGAAUUUCCAAAACAUGAAGAUCAUGGAAUUAUCUGACUGUAAGUUCCUAACAAAAAUUCCUGAUAUUUCAAGGAUCCCAAGUCUUGAGAAAUUAACUCUUUCUCGUUGUGAAAGUUUAGUUGAGGUUCAUGAUUCUGUUGGCUAACUGAAUAAGCUUACCCAUUUGUCAUUUUCCAAGUGCUCUAACCUAAUCACUUUACCAAGAAGCAUCAAGUUGAGAUCUCUAGAAUGGCUUGACAUUAGAGAUUGCUUAAGCCUUCAGAACUUUCCUGAAAUUGAGUGUGAAAUGGAUUGUUUGAGUUCCAUUUCAUUAGCCUACACUGCUAUAAAAGAAUUGCCUUCAUCCAUUGGAUACAUCACUGGCCUUGAAGAUUUAUGUCUAGAUGGGUGCAAAAAUCUUUUGAAUCUACCAAGUUCCCAUCUUCAGUAGCAAAAUCUAAGGUCUCUUUCUUUCAAGGAUCUUUUCCCAGUGAAGGUGGGGAAUAAAAGACAAUCCAUACCCUCUUUUGUGUCCACAGAGGAUUCAGAAAUUUUAUCAGGUGUAGAACUACUCUCUUUGCAAACUCCAAAGAAUUCAAGCGUUUAUAAUGAUAAUUGUUGCUCAACAGUGUUUCCGUCAUUGCAAUUUUUGAAUCUUGGGAAGUGUGUCCUAUCAGAAUCGAAUUUGUUUAAGCUAUUUAACUGCUCUUCCACAUUACAAGUUUUAGAUUUCUCGGGAACUGAUAUUGUGAGCCUUCCUGCAAGCAUAAAAAGAUUUAUUGCAUUGAAGCGCCUUAUAUUGCAAGAUUGCAAGCAACUUCAAGAAAUUGUAGAACUUCCACCAUUUAUCAAGGAGGUAUAUGCUAGUGGGUGCAUGUCAUUGGAAAAUUUUCCUGAUGCAUCAAAGAAAUUUCAAUUCAAUGCAUGCAACUUAAAAGCACUUGAAUGGAUUGACUUGUGUGGAUGCCAUAAAAUGCUUGUAAACAUAGGGAAUCAUGUGGCAGAUCCUUUAUUGGGGUCAAUUAAAGGAACUUUUAGGCGGCAUUAUACUUCCAGGAAAUAAGAUCCCGGACUGGUUCAGCCAACGUAAAUUGACUUCAAAUAUUAAUUCGUGUGAAAUGGAUAUUAAUGGACUUUGGUACAUGGAUGAGGUCGUGGGAAUUGUUCUAUGUGCAAUUAUUGGACCCAAUAUUUUGAUUGGCCGGGAAAAGCCCCUUCAUCUUAUUGGUGUUAAGAUCAAUGAUAAUGAAGUCGAAGAAAGAGCGGUUGAUUUAAUGGGAUCAGAUCAUUUAUGGCUAGAGUAUGUCAUUUUAGAAUCUUUUAAGCCAAAGGAGGACAAUAUGCAAGUAAAUUUCUAUAGUUAUUUAGAUGAACCGGUGUUCUUCAAAAGUUGUGGAGUCCAUCUAGUGCACAAACAUGAAGAGAAUGUGAAAGAUCAUGAUCCAGCUCUACUCCAUGAGAAUGUUGAUGUGCAUUUGGAUGUACCCAAUGAAGAGAUUGAAAAUUCUGAGUCGGUGUCAGUCGAUGGUAUUCAACUUUCUAAGAGGCGUCGGGAGGAUUGAGAUGAUAGCAUCAGGGAGUCCAUUCUGUACCCUCAACACGAGAGAGAGAAGAGAAGGAAGAGGGGGGGAUGGGGGGUUUUUCUUCUUCUUCUUCUUCUUCUUUAUUUUUUUAUUUUUUUAACAGGGUUCUCAAAACUUAACAGUUAUGGAAUUCGAUAAUUGUAAAUCCCAGAUCUUUCCAGGAAUCCAAAUUUAAAUGAACUGACUCUUUGUGGUUGUCAAAAUUUAGUGGAGGUUCAUAAUUCUUUUGGAUUCCUUAAUAAGCUUAAUUGUUUGCGUUUGGAUGGAUGUUGUAGCCUUAAGAUCAGUUUUCCAAGAAGCCUCAAUUUGAAAUCUCUCGAAUGGCUUGACCCUGAAGGAUGCUCAAGCCUAUAAAACUUUCCCGAAGUUGAAUGUGAAAUGGAAAUAUUACAUGAAUUAUAUCCAAAAGACACUGCCAUAAAGAUCUAAAAGACCUCAGUGGGCUUCGCAUUUUGAAUUUAGUAGGCUGUAAAGAUCUGAUGCAUUUACCAAGCAGCAUGUUUCAGUUGAAGCACCUAAGGGAACUUUAUGCCUAUGGUUGUUCAAAUCUUCCUCCAUCUUCCUCAAUAGUUUUUCCAGCAUUGGAAGUUUUCUAUCUUAAAAACUCUGCCAUUUCUCUAUGACACUUAAGUGUAAUUCCACAUUGCAAGAAUUAUAUCUUUUAGGGACUGAUAUUGUUAGCCUUCCAACAAGCGUAAGAACAUUUGAUGCUUUGAAUAUCCUGAUCUUGGAGGAUUGCAAGAAACUUAAAGGAAUCCUAGAAUUCCCACCAAAUAUAAAAAAGGUAUAUACUAGUGGAUGCAUAUCAUUGGAGAUUUUUCCAGAAGUGUCGAAAAGACUUGUAUUCAAUACAAGCAACUUGUGAGAUCUGUGUUGGAUUGACUUGUCAGGAUGUCACAAAAUGCUUGUGAAUGUAGCAGAGAAUUCUGUGCCAAGUUCUUCAUUUGUUGAUGGACAUCUUAAGAACUGUGGCAUUAUAUUUUCGGGAAAUAGGAUUCCAGACUGGUUCAGCCAUAGUAAGAUCAGACUUCAAAUAGUAAAUAAUGUAAAAUAGAUGUUAGUUUUGAUGGGAUCGGUACUAGAAUUGCUUUAUGUGCUGUUAUUGGGCAAAAUCCGACUAUCUCUCGGGAAAGAUCCCUUCAUCAUGAUCAUGUCGAAAGUGAUUUCCAUGUUGUGUUCCGCACUCUUAGUUCACUGCAUGGAAUCCAAAAGUGUUGCAGAGAGAGAAUGGUUCAAGAAAGAAUAGUUUCUUCAAUGUGUCAUGUAUGGUUAGAGUACUACGAUAGAGAAUAUGUUGGGAUGAAGAUGGAUGAUUUGAUAGUACUCGAGUAUCCUCCUGCUGUAGAUUCAGUGAUCCUUAAAAGUUAUGGAGUUCAUCUGGUACAUGACAAGCAUGAUGAGAGAAUUCAACAUCAUCCAAGUGUGCUCCAUGAGGAAGAUGAUGAUGAUGUCAAUUUGAAUGUAUAUACCUGAUCAUGAGAAAUUGGAAAUUCAAGAGAUUUGAUUGAUGCUAUUCGACUUUCGAAGAGGCCCUGUUGUUACUUUCGAAGAGGCCCCGUUGUGAUGAGGAUGACGACGACGACGACAAUGAUGAUUACAACUUUAAAUAUACCUGGAAUUCACAACAAAAGAGGUGUUCUUCAACCUCGGGUGUCAAAGAAACAAAGGAAGAUUUGGAUUUAGAGCUUCGACUUGGGUGGCUUAAUUAGGGGUACUCAUCAAUGGUUAGUUGGAUGACUACUCAUGGAUCAUGGAUGGUGGUGCUGGUGGUUGUGAUUUUCACUCUUGCUUG